CCCAUGUAGUUCAUCGAGCAUGAAUAGGAUAUGCAGGAAAGCGAAAUCAGAUUUGGGGGUGAUGCCCCGCCAUUAAAUAAGAUAAUGAAACUGAAAAUUGAUUAGUAGUGUGCCUAUUCACUGGCAAUCAAAGUAGGGAGUAGCUAUGGACCACAGCUAUAGAUCUUCUGUGGUG
rnacentral:sRNA from 12 species